rnacentral:lncRNA from 1 species
CGCCCAUAGCACAGGCCUUUCCUUCCGGCGCCAAGCGCCUGCUGCUCCGCUGGCCGCGGGAGCCGGGCGAGCCAGUCCUUGUUGCUCCUGGGCCGGAGAGGUCUCCUGGGUUGGGAGGCGCAGGCCUGCCCCCGGAGGAGACGCGGGCGCCCCAGACGCCCGCCCUCCCGCCCGCGCUCGUCCUCCCGCCCGCGCUCGUCCUCCCGCCCGCGCUCGUCCUCCCGCCCGCGCUCGUCCUCCCGCCCGCGCUCGUCCUCCCGCCCGCGCUCGUCCUCCCGCCCGCGCUCGUCCUCCCGCCCGCGCUCGCCCUCCCGCCCGCGCUCGUCCUCCCAUCCGCCUGUUCCUCGGCGCGGGCUCCUGGCCGAGGAAACCGAAGCUCCAGUCAGCGGAGCAGCCGAGAUGGGGCGGGCGGGGUGUCGCCGGCCUGCGGGGCGUGUAGGGGAGCUGUGACGCUGGCGUGGGCGAGCGGACCGCUUCUUCCGUGAUAAGGAGUUGUCGGCUGAACCCAAGGGACAGAGCAGACUGUUUGAGAAAGAUGCUCCGAGCCGAGGGACCAGACUUGGUCUGGAAGGUCAGAUGGGGGCUUUGUCGCUACUGAGCUGAGGCCCCGUGGGAGCGGGCCCCCACCUCGAAGACCGCCUUGCUGGGAGCACUUUCGCUUUGGCGCAGAAUCAGCAGUGGCCACCGGGAUUGGAUCUUGAGAUGGUGGAGGAGAGCAGUCAGGACGCCUAAGUGUUAGCCCAGAGGACCGCAAGGAGGGCACCUGCACCAACCCGGGCGACCCGGUGGAAAGGAGCAGAGUUUGAAAAGCACACCCUGAAACGUGGGCAACAUGUCAUCCCUUUGUGGAAGAAACAGAAAAACAGAACACAUCCCUGGAACACAGCUCCCGAAUCAGGCAUGACGUCCUUCAAUAAAGGAAUGCGUAUUUCAGUGGCCUGAGCAGAAAGACGGGUUUAUUAGAUGAAGUUUGAAGAACUCUGACAGGAAAGAACAAAAAGGAGGUUAGUCAUCUCA